UACGAGAGGCCCAAACGUUAUUCGGAAUUACUGGGCUUAAAGAGUUCGUAGGCGGCGCAGAAAGUAGGGUGUGAAAGCCCUCGGCUCAACCGAGGAAUUGCGCUCUAAACUACUGUGCUUGAGGAAGCUAGAGGUGAGCGGAACUGAUGGUGGAGCGGUGAAAUGCGUUGAUAUCAUCAGGAACACCGGAGGCGAAGGCGGCUCACUGGGGCUUUUCUGACGCUGAGGAACGAAAGCGUGGGGAGCAAACAGGG
rnacentral:rRNA from 1 species